CGUGCUCCGACACCGGGGCUUUGCUGUCCUCCAUCGUGGCCGCCUCGAUGAGGUUUACUGCUCUGGAUGUUGGACAGGACAACGUUGCUCGCCCGUGUUUGCAUUGUAUAUAUACAAGAGCUCAGUGGAGUGUGCAUGUGGAUUAGGUGGUUCUGAUGUGAGCACGUGAUGCGCGCGUACGUGUUGCCGGCCGGGGAAUGCAG
rnacentral:lncRNA from 7 species